rnacentral:lncRNA from 1 species
GUAGGUACUGGGCACAGCACUGGGUCCUAGGUGGUGGAUGAGGGGUGUGGUGGGACAGACCCCCCCCAGGGGCAGCUGUGUCCUCUAACCUUUCCCACUGCUUCCACAACAUUGGGUGUGCUCAGCGGACCAGCUGGCUUGGAUAGAGUUCUUCCUAAUGUUUGCCACCCUCCUUAUGAUGUUUCAGUUCCAGCUGCAAGAGGGGAGCCCAGGGCUCAGGGUGGAGCACAUCUUUGGGAGCAUUCUACAGUGCCAGCCCCAGAGGAUCUCUGCAAUGUCCUGUCUGAGCUGCCUCAGCCCAGACAGAGGAAGUGCAGGUCCCUGCAGACCUAGCGCUUGGAAAGAGCUGGGUCUCUGUAUUGGGCAAAGUCAGAAGCCAAGGCAACUGUUUCCAGCAAAUUGCCCGCCAAGCACUCCCUUCACUUUUCACCCAAGGAUCCCC